rnacentral:rRNA from 1 species
GAUGAACGCUGGCGGCGUGCCUAAUACAUGCAAGUCGAGCGAACAGAUGAGGAGCUUGCUCCUCUGACGUUAGCGGCGGACGGGUGAGUAACACGUGGAUAACCUACCUAUCAGACUGGGAUAACUUCGGGAAACCGGAGCUAAUACCGGAUAAUAUAUUGAACCGCAUGGUUCAAUAGUGAAAGACGGUUUUGCUGUCACUUAUAGAUGGAUCCGCGCCGCAUUAGCUAGUUGGUAAGGUAACGGCUUACCAAGGGGACGAUGCGUAGCCGACCGGAUAGGGUGGUCGGCCACACUGGAACUGAGACACGCACCAGGCGCCUACGGGAGGCAGCAGUAGGGAAUCUUCCGCAAUGGGCGAAAGCCUGACGGAGCAACGCCGCGUGAGUGAUGAAGGUCUUCGGAUCGUAAAACUCUGUUAUUAGGGAAGAACAAAUGUGUAAGUAACUAUGCACGUCUUGACGGUACCUAAUCAGAAAGCCACGGCUAACUACGUG